CGAACGAAAUUGUUUUCACCUUUUUUUUAACUUUCUUCUUCCAUUCCUUUUAUCGCAUGUUUCUUCUUCACCACAACUUUGAUCUCUCUCCCAACCCAGCACAAUAAUCUUCCAAGUGUUUUGUUUAAUGGGUAUCUUUCUCUGCGCCUUCGAUUUCUUCGCCGCUUCCCCUGCCCUCAAUAUCUUACUCUGCCGCUGCUGUUUACUGGAUUCAUCUCAGCACCGCUCUUCCGCGUUGGAUUUCUUGCUCCUUCGCUGCUGUGCGCCUCGGAUGGGUUCAUCACGGUGUUAAUUGAUUUCGUUUGUGAUCUGCUAAGGUUCAAAAUCAUCCUUGAUAUCGUUUGCGAUCUGCUGAGGUUCGGUCAUUGUAAGUUUUCUUCUUCACUGUUUAGGUGUCGUAUGUUCCGCUGGGGUUUCAGACGCUUGAUCUCUGCUACCCCGUUUCAGUUUUCAGUCGCAUGAGAUUAGGUACAAUUAGUUUCAAUUUUGGGCUCGAUUCGUUGAUUAGUUCUUUCAAUUUCUGUUCAUUGAAUUUUGUUUAGUGAAUCAUCUCCGCACAUCCGUUAUCCGUUGGUGUCUUAAAAGUUGGGCGAUUCUGAUAGGAAGUAAAUCUGAUGAUGUGAUUCAGCUCCCAGUUGAUCUGCAAUGGCCCAUUUCCAGUGAGGGACUACACUUCUUAAAUGAUGUUCGUCAACGUCUUCAAGUGAAUAUAGGUUAUGUCGAUUACCUUUUUUUUAUUUUUCUAAUUUUCUGAAGUUCUCAAUUAAGUAUAUGAAGACAAUGGCGGUCUGAAAGUGAUUCAAGCUUUCUUUACUAAUUUUCCCCUUCUUUUUUGGUUAUUCCAAUUCUUUUGAGCUCCCCCUAUAUAUGCAUUCUGCAAUUUCCCUAUUAUUUGUUGAAAUACAUACUUUUUUAGCAUAUAGUCUGAAUGAAUUUCAAAUCUCUAGAUUCAAUCUCGCUUAAAAAUAAACCAACCCCAGCGUUGUGCUUAUAUUAGAACAUGUUUAUCUUAUUCAUGUGUUAUUCUAUUUGUAUUCAAUUUUAACUAACCUGGACACAUUUUGGUUCAUAUCAAACUUGAAGUUUUCCUUCAAGUGAUCCUGCCUUUGUUGUUUUUUUGUUAAGAAAAGUGAUAAGUGGUCCAAGAUUUUAAAAUGGUUAAUGUAUAAGGUGUCUUUUGUUGAGAACUCAACAACCGACUUUAAAUUUUGCUUAAAGUGUCUUUAAGAGCCAGCUAUAAAGUUUGUUGGUAGUGAUCCUUAUUAAGAGUUAUUGAGUAAGCUUUUGAGUUUUUCCAUGAGUUACAUUUCAGCUUUAUAUUGUGUUUAUCUUUUCCGCUCUUGGGUUGUAGUGAGGAGAUUUUUUGGUUUGUUUGCUUUCCCAAGUCUUUUGGGUGAGUUUUAUGCCAGCUAUGUCAUCUUGGCCUAUA